GUUUACUUCAAUCAGAUUAUGAUUGUUUAAGGAAUUCUCUAUGAAAGACCUUGAGGAAGCAUCCUUUACUUUAGGAAUUCAGAUCUAUAAAGAUAGAUCUAAAAAGAUGCCAGGCUUUUCACAAAGGUUGUACAUAGAGAAGGUGCUGAAAAAGUUCAGUAUGAAAAACUCUAAAAAAAAACUUAUGCCCUUUAGGCAUCGAAUUCAUCACUCCAAGAAGAUGUGCCUCAGU
rnacentral:lncRNA from 1 species